ACACUCCUGCGGGAGGCAGCAGUGGGGAAUAUUGCACAAUGGGCGCAAGCCUGAUGCAGCCAUGCCGCGUGUAUGAAGAAGGCCUUCGGGUUGUAAAGUACUUUCAGCGGGGAGGAAGGCGAUAAGGUUAAUAACCUUGUCGAUUGACGUUACCCGCAGAAGAAGCACCGGCUAACUCCGUGCCAGCAGCCGCGGUAAUACGGAGGGUGCAAGCGUUAAUCGGAAUUACUGGGCGUAAAGCGCACGCAGGCGGUCUGUCAAGUCGGAUGUGAAAUCCCCGGGCUCAACCUGGGAACUGCAUUCGAAACUGGCAGGCUAGAGUCUUGUAGAGGGGGGUAGAAUUCCAGGUGUAGCGGUGAAAUGCGUAGAGAUCUGGAGGAAUACCGGUGGCGAAGGCGGCCCCCUGGACAAAGACUGACGCUCAGGUGCGAAAGCGUGGGGAGCAAACAGGAUUAGAAACCCCGGUAGUCCC
rnacentral:rRNA from 1 species